GAGCUAAUACAUGCAAACAGGCUCGAACUUACGUGAGAGGCGCUUUUAUUAGAUCAAAACCAAACGUUUUCGGACGUAUUUUUGGUGACUCUGGAUAACUUUGAGCUGAUCGUAUAGCCUUGUGCUGGCGACAUAUCCUUCGAAGGUGUGCCCUAUCAACUGUCGACUGUGGCAUAGACGCCCACAGUGGUUUUGACGGGUAACGGGGAAUCAGGGUUCGAUUCCGGAGAGGGAGCCUUAAAAACGGCUACCACAUCUAAGGAAGGCAGCAGGCACGCAAAUUACCCAAUGACCGCAGGUCGAGGUAGUGACGAAAAAUAACGAUACGGGACUCAUCCGAGGCCCCGUAAUCGGAAUGAGUACACUUUAAAACCGUCCCCGAGGAUCUAUUGGAGGGCAAGUCUGGUGCCAGCAGCCGCGGUAAUUCCAGCUCCAAUAGCGUAUAUUAAAGUUGUUGUGGUUAAAAAGCUCGUAGUUGGAUCUCCACAGUCUGAAGUUGGUGUGCUUGCUAGCACUACUGCCUUAUAGACUGUAGUUUUGCCAGAGGUGUUAGGGUGCUCUUAAUCGAGUGUCCUAUCGCACUGGCAGGUUUACUUUGAAAAAAUUAGAGUGCUCAAAGCAGGCUUUAUGCUUGAAUAUUCGUGCAUGGAAUAAUAGAAUAGGAGGUCAUUUCUAUUUUGUUGGUUUUUAAGUUUUGACUUAAUGAUUAAUAGGGACAAACGGGGGCAUUUGUAUUCAGACGACAGAGGUGAAAUUCUUGGACCGUCUGAAGACAAACUACA
rnacentral:rRNA from 1 species